UAUCUCGUAGACUAAUUGGGUAAGUCAUAAACUUUUGAUGUUUACUAUUAGGUGUUCGAAUCGCCUCGAGAUAA
rnacentral:tRNA from 1 species